GACGAACGCUGGCGGCGUGCUUAACACAUGCAAGUCGAACGGUCUACCUCGACAGAAACCUUCGGGUUGAAGACGAGAUCUAGAUAGUGGCGGACGGGUGAGUAACACGUGAAUAAUCUGUCCUCAAGUCCGGGAUAACCUGGCGAAAGUCGGGCUAAUCCGGGGUAAGCUGAGAGUGCGGCAUCACACAAUCAGAAAAGGUGGCUCUGCCAUCGUUUGAGGAGGAGUUCGCGGUAGAUUAGCUAGCUGGUGAGGUAAUGGCUCACCAGGGCAACAAUCUAUAGCUGGUCUGAGAGGACGAUCAGUCACACUGGAACUGAGACACGGUCCAGACUCCUACGGGAGGCAGCAGUGGGGAAUCUUCCACAAUGGGCGCAAGCCUGAUGGAGCAACGCCGCGUGAGUGAAGAAGGUCUUAGGAUUGUAAAGCUCUGUCCUUAGGGAAGAACCGUGGGUAUAGCAAAUGAUACCCACCUGACGGUACCUUUGGAGGAAGCACUGGCUAACUACGUGCCAGCAGCCGCGGUAAUACGUAGAGUGCAAGCGUUGUCCGGAAUUAUUGGGCGUAAAGGGUACGCAGGCGGAUAAUCAAGUCAAGCGUGAAAGGUGUCGGCUUAACCGACAGACUGCGUUUGAAACUGGUUAUCUUGAGUGUAACAGAGGAGAGUGGAAUUCCUAGUGUAGUGGUGAAAUACGUAGAUAUUAGGAAGAACACCAGUGGCGAAGGCGACUCUCUGGGUAACACUGACGCUGAGGUACGAAAGCUGGGGAGCGAACGGGAUUAGAUACCCCGGUAGGUCCCAGCCGUAACGAUGAUACUAGGUG
rnacentral:rRNA from 1 species